CCUACGGGUGGCAGCAGUGAGGAAUAUUCCACAAUGGGGGAAACCCUGAUGGAGCGAUGCCGCGUGCAGGAAGACGCUUUUCGGAGUGUAAACUGCUUUUAAUAGGGAAGAUUAUGACGGUACCUAUAGAAUAAGGACCGGCUAACUACGUGCCAGCAGCCGCGGUAAUACGUAGGGUCCAAGCGUUAUUCGGAAUUACUGGGCGUAAAGCGUUCGUAGGCGGUUUGGUAAGUUGGAUGUGAAAUCCUGUGGCUCAACCACAUGGACUGUGUCCAAAACUACCUGACUAGAGCAUAGUAGAGGCAAGUGGAAUUUGCGGUGUAGGAGUGACAUCCGUAGAUAUCGCAAGGAACACCAAUGGCGAAGGCAGCUUGCUGGGCUAUUGCUGACGCUCAGGAACGAAAGCGUGGGGAGCGAACGGGAUUAGAUACCCUUGUAGUC
rnacentral:rRNA from 1 species